UACGUAGGGUCCGAGCGUUGUCCGGAAUUAUUGGGCGUAAAGAGCUCGUAGGCGGUUUGUCGCGUCUGCCGUGAAAGUCCGGGGCUCAACUCCGGAUCUGCGGUGGGUACGGGCAGACUAGAGUGAUGUAGGGGAGACUGGAAUUCCUGGGUGUAGCGGUUGAAAUGCGCAGGAAUAUCAGGAGGAACACCAAUUGCGAAGGCAGCUCGCUGGGACGUAACUGACGCUGAGACGCGAAAGCGUGGGGGAGCAAACAGG
rnacentral:rRNA from 1 species